rnacentral:rRNA from 1 species
UACGGAAAGGCAGCAGUGGGGAAUAUUGCACAAUGGGCGCAAGCCCUGAUGCAGCCAUGCCGCGUGUAUGAAGAAGGCCUUCGGGUUGUAAAGUACUUUCAGUCGUGAGGAAGGUGUUAAGGUUAAUAACCUUAGCAAUUGACGUUAGCGACAGAAGAAGCACCGGCUAACUCCGUGCCAGCAGCCGCGGUAAUACGGAGGGUGCGAGCGUUAAUCGGAAUUACUGGGCGUAAAGGGCACGCAGGCGGUUAAUUAAGUUGGAUGUGAAAUCCCCGGGCUUAACCUGGGAAUGGCAUUCAAGACUGGUUAGCUAGAGUCUUGUAGAGGGGGUUAGAAUUCCAUGUGUAGCGGUGAAAUGCGUAGAGAUGUGGAGGAAUACCGGUGGCGAAGGCGGCCCCUGGACAAAGGCUGACGCUCAUGUGCGAAACGCGUGGGGAGCGAAACAGGGAUUAGAUA